rnacentral:lncRNA from 1 species
GGGGUUUUACCAUGUUGGCGUGUCUCGAGCUCCCGACCUCAAGUGAUCUGCCCACCUUGGCCUCCCAAAUUGCUGGGAUGACAGGCGUGAGCCACCGGGCCCGGCCCCCCUCUCCUUUUCUCGACCCCAGUCCCCACACCACUUGGACCGCGAAUGCUCAGAUGUCACCCAGCCUGGAGGCCCCUCACAGACCCUGGGCAAUGCUGAAGCACAGCCCUGACCACACCUGUGUCCUGACCACACCUGUGUCCUGACCACACCUGUGCCCUGACCACACCUGUGUCCUGACCACACCUGUGUCCUGACCACACCUGUGCCCUGACCACACCUGUGUCCUGACCACACCUGUGCCCUGACCACACCUGUGCCCUGCUCCAGGAUCCCAGAAUGGCCCCACCUCAGCACUCUAGUCGGAGUCCGGCCAACACCUGGGCACCAGGGGAAAGUGGCCUGCUGGGGGAGGAAGUCAGGCCUGGGGAGGCUGUGGACCCUGGGAGCUUCCUUGCCUGCCCCCGCCCCACCUUCACUCCUGCACACAAAGGCACAGAGACACACGAAUGCACAACGCCUCGCCACGCUCUCGCACGGAUGCCACGUGGCAGCAGAAGUAGAAGACUCCACCCUGCUCAGCUUCUGACCUGUGACCUUGGCCAUGUCGCUGGCCCUCCCUAAGUCUCUGUCUCCCCAUUGUGGGUGGAGGGGCUGGGCCCAGGGGCCUGGGGGGCAGGAGGCUGAGGCUGGGUGUGGGCUGGGGCUGUCCUGGCCCCCGCUCCUGUUUCGACCACCAGGCUUCCUCCCCCUGCCCCUCUGGGGAGGGACCAUAAUUAACGUCUUCCUGUUCAGAUCAGGAGUCCGUUUCCAAAAACAUUUUUGGAAGGAUUAUUUUGCAAAGGAAAUGUUUUUGAAAGACUCUUGUGUCCCGUCCCGGCCGAGGGAAGUGGGAGCAGCAGUUGGAGCGGGGAUAGCGG